rnacentral:lncRNA from 1 species
UCAAACUCCUGACCUCAAGUGAUUCAGCCGCCUCGCCUCCCAAAGUGCUGGGAUUACAGGUGUGAGGCACCACAUCCGACCUCUGCUCUUCCUCAAAGGCCACCAAAUCAUGCCAGCUAACUGUGCAAAGAUGUUAGCCUGAUAGUCAAAGCUCUUCCCAGACUCUUAUAAACAUAGAAGAACAUAGCGGUUAAGAACAUGAGCUCUGCAGCAGGAUUACACGGAUUCCAAUCUCAGCUCAGCCACAUACUAGCUGUGUGAUGUUGGAUGAGAACAUUGAGGCCUAGGGCAUUUCAAUAGCUUGCCAAAGGGCUCAUCAUUCUCGGGUAACAGGAUGAGGCCAGACACCAAGGAUCCCUGGAUCCAUGCCCUACUCUCCACACUUGUCUUGGGUCUAUGAAGCCCCCAGUCCCAAGAUGCUGAGAACCUGAGAUAUCACUCAUCUCAUCUUCCUGAAUUUUAUGAACUAAGAAGCGAAAGCUCACCCAAAGCCAUUUAUAGAGUCUAUGGAAAAAGAAGGACUAGACCCUGGAUUCCGUGAUUUACAGGUUUUUCUUCUCCUAAUUUUCAAUCCACUCCAAAACAUGCAGAGAGAUGACCUUAGCAAAGAUGUUUAUUAGUGUACGUUGGUGCUGUUGUUUCGGGGAGGGGGUCGGAAGGUCUUGGAAUCACUUCCUACUGUGUAAUCUGCAAGCUUCCCACUGCGUCUUCCUCUUCCUCUUUGCUUUUUCCAGAGAUAUAAAGGGUGGCUGGUGCCAUUCUUCCAAAAGGAAAGCUGUCAUCUUUACUCACUCAGUCCUCAGCAAACUAUCUGAGCACUAUUUUUGUGCCUCAUCUGGGAGCUGGGGAGUCAGUGAUGGGCAAGAUAUGGUCUUUACUUGCAAAAUUCCCAUAGCACAUUGGAGAAGAAAAAACAGCAAUCAGGUAUGUGCGCUACAGGGGGGUGCAUGCUGCAACCACCAGCAUCAACAACAACAUGCAUUGAAUGCUUCAUGUAUAUCAAGUGCUCUCUCUCCUAAGAGAUAUGAAUGCAUUAACCCCAUUUACUCCUCAAGACUAGAAACAAACACUUUAUAAUUUGCUACGGACUGAAAAUUUGUGUCCCCCUAAAAUGUAUAUGUGGAAGUCUUAAUCCCCAAUGUGAUGAUAUUUGGAGGCGGGGCCUUGGGACAUAAUUGGGGUAGGGUGAGGUCAUGAGGGUGAAAACCCCAUACUGGGAUUGGUGCCCUUAGAAAGGUAUAAAGGGACUGGAGCAUGCAGUUUCUCUCUCUCUCUCUCUCUGUUUCUCUCUCUCUCUCUCUCCCUCCGCCGUAUGAGCACGCAGCAAGAAAGCGGCUGUGUGGCAACCAGGAAGACAGCCUUUAUCAGAAUCCAGCCAUAUUGGUGCCCUGAUCUCAGACUUUCCAGCCUCCAGAACUGUAAGAAAUAGAUGUUCACUGUUUAAGUGCCCCAGUCUAUGGUAUUCUAUGAUAGCAGCCCAAACUGACUAAGACAUCAUUUCUUUUAUCAGAUGAGGAAACCAAUACAUAGAAAGACUUUUAAAUUUUCCCUAAACAAUGGAAGUACAUGCUAAGUGCAAUAGGGGUAUGUAGAAAAGAGUGUUCAGAUUUUAGGGAGAUUUCCAGAAAAGGCCUCUUCAUGCUGGAGAUGGCUUUUUUUAAAUAAUGGAAGGGAGUUCCCAAGGCAAUGGUUGAGCAGUGGAGUGGGAGCCCAGGUAAGAGUAUGCAGGUGGUAGAAACAAAAUAUUCUAAGACAGACGGGCACAAAACAGCAUGGCUUAUUUGGGGAACUACAAGUACCUCUAUGUUGCUGAUGCCUGAUGUUCUAGAGGACACAUUUCAAGGCAGGAACAAGCUGAGGGCAUAUCUCAACCUCCCCUUCCUCAGGGGCACUCAUCCUUCAUCCCUUUAGCAGUUUUACUCAGCAUUUGUUCUAGGAUGCCAGGCUGUGAGGUAAGACAGGUAAGUGAGACUCAGCCUCUACCCUCAGAGUUCACAAUCUAAUGGGAAAACUAAAUUAUCAUAAAGAUAGCAUUACAAAUGCAGUGCUUGACAUAUGCCUGGAGCACUAUGAGACUGUAGGUGAGAAGCAACGAAAAGAGGACAAUCCGGAGAAGGUAGCAGCUGUGCUGUCUCUUAAAGUCUGACCAGGUAGUCCAGGUGUUCCCUGUGUUUGAGGUCAAGGGGCAGCAGGAGAAGAUGCAACAGAAAAGCACACAGCACGAGCAAAGCCACAUAGCUGAAAAACAGCUAUCACCUGCAACAGCUUCUGCUGCUACAAUACCUGUACUCCUCUUAGAUUUUAUUCCAGUAUCAGCCAACAACGUGAUCUGACAGGACAGUCCCAGCCCUAGGAAAUGAACUAUGAUUCGUGCAGACCGAUCGAAGUCAUACCAUACAGCGAUGGAUUUGGGCAUGUGGGCCAGUUGGGAUCAAGGGAAAGGAAGCAUUUCCAUUUUGAUCAAUGGGGGGAUUCUGGGAAAGUCUUCUGCCCGUAAAAAGAAACAAGCCAGGAAAAACGUCCCCUUCCUCCCUGUAGACAUGGCUAUGAACGGCAGGAUGCCUGAAACUGUCCAGGCUUGUUAUGAUGGAGAGACACACUGCACAGGGUGGGGGAAAGGGGAAAUAUACCCUAAGAAUGGUAGACCAGAAAGAUGUAAAGCAUCUGUAUCCUUGUUGAAAUUAUAGUGCCUCCCAAUUAACAUACCUAGAACUGUUUACCUCUGGACAUUUCAUUAUGUGAGAUAUUAAAGACCUGUGUA